CCCGCUGAACUUAAGCAUAUCAAUAAGCGGAGGAAAAGAAACUAACAAGGAUUCCCCUAGUAACUGCGAGUGAAGCGGGAAAAGCUCAAAUUUAAAAUCUGGCAGUCUCUGGCUGUCCGAGUUGUAAUCUAGAGAAGCAUUAUCCGCGCUGGACCGUGUACAAGUCUCCUGGAAUGGAGCGUCAUAGAGGGUGAGAAUCCCGUCUUUGACACGGACUGCCAGGGCUUUGUGAUGUGCUCUCAAAGAGUCGAGUUGUUUGGGAAUGCAGCUCAAAAUGGGUGAUAAAUUCCAUCUAAAGCUAAAUAUUGGCGAGAGACCGAUAGCGAACAAGUACCGUGAGGGAAGGAUGAAAAGAACUUUGGAAAGAGAGUUAAACAGUACGUGAAAUUGUUGAAAGGGAAACGCUUGAAGUCAGUCGCGUCGACCGAGACUCAGCCUCGCCUUGGCUUGGUGUACUUCUCGGCUGACGGGUCAGCAUCAAUUUCGAUCCUUGGAUAAUGGCAAGGGAAAGGUAGCACCUUUACAGGUGUGUUAUAGUCCUUUGUCGGAUGCAAGGGUUGGGAUUGAGGAACUCAGCACGCACCUCAUCGGUGUCGGGGCCUUUUGGCCUACGUUACGUGCUUAGGAUGCUGGCAUAAUGGCUUUAAACGACCCGUCUUGAAACACGG
rnacentral:rRNA from 1 species